GAUCAACGCUGGCGGCGUGCCUAAUGCAUGCAAGUCGAGCGGGGUGGCCUUCGGGCCACUUACGCGGCGGACGGGUGCGGAACACGUGGGCAACCUGCCCCGAGGUGGGGGGUAGCCGGUGGAAACACCGGGUAAUUCCCCAUGAGGUCACUGGCCGGAGGGCCAGUAAGGAAAGGGUCUUUCGGGACUCGCCUUGGGAGGGGCCUGCGGCCGAUUAGCUAGACGGUGGGGUAACGGCCUACCGUGGCGAUGAUCGGUAGCUGGUCUGAGAGGACGGCCAGCCACACGGGGACUGAGACACGGCCCCGACUCCUACGGGAGGCAGCAGCAAGGAAUCUUCCGCAAUGGGCGACAGCCUGACGGAGCAACGCCGCGUGUGGGAUGACGCCUUUCGGGGUGUAAACCACUUUUCUCAGGGAAGAAGCACUGACGGUACCUGAGGAAGAAGGACCGGCUAACUACGUGCCAGCAGCCGCCGUAAGAC
rnacentral:rRNA from 1 species